AGAGGAGGAUUGGCGGCAGAUGUUAGCUCAGGGCUGAUCUUCCUCACAAAAAAAUAGAUAAAAGCUCCUUAUCCUCUAGAAACCUGGGCCCUAGUGGGCCCCGCCCCAUUGCUGCUGCGGGGGCCGUGCCCUAGGUUGACAUCUGGGGAUUUCCUGGUCAGUGCUCUGGCCACGUGACCUGCAUUGUGUGGGAACAUGAACAAGUCUGUGACCUAUAGGCUUCUCAUCUCAAAGAUGAGCAGAGUGAUAACCCACUUUUUGGGGCCAGAGCUGCCCCGUGGAGGGUUCCCCUGUCCUUUUGUUCUUAACGUCUUUCGUGCCCUGAGGGGAUUGUCAUUCCUAAAGUGCAGUCUGCAGUCCUGCUGACCACCUACACCGAGGUGGCCUUGGGGGGCCUGGAUGGUCUAAAGGGGCCAGGCAGCAAAGUCAUGCGUUGCCUCCAUUUGGUUCCUCCUUGUGUGCAGUGGGGCAGCCAGCCUUGUCAUCUGCAAAUGAAGGAGGCAGCUUCUAGGGUUAACGUGGGUCUUACGUGAGAGCUCACACAGUGGAAAAGGAAUAGGUUUGUAAGCGCUAAGGGCUACCUGGGGAGGAGACAGUGUUCGGCAGUCCUUGGCUGGGAGGGGCGGGUCCUGGAGGGAGAGGUUGGGGUACCUAGGACAGAACUUGCCCGGCUUGGGGGGCAGGCCCGGCUUAGCAUUACGCCCCAGCAGCCCUCACCCCAGAGCCAGCAAGGCAAUCAGAGCUGCCCUCCUCGAGCCCAGCUCACCAGGGGAACCCCGGGAGGGGCUCUGCAAAGCCUGUGCUGGGGAGCAUAAAGGCCCAGGAGGGACUGGAACCAUCUAAACACAGAGACAGUUUCCUUCAGGGAGCUCACAGUCUCCUGGGGGAGACGCAGCUGGGACUGCACAGUUGUGAGAGAGCAAGUUUUCCCUUGACCAAGAUCUGGCCAUUCCUGUGGGCCGGGCCUGCUCCAGGAGCUGGGGAAACACCCACGGAGAAGCAGAAGGACGAGGCCCCUGCCUCUUUGAACUGACGUUCUAGCUAGGGGGCCUGGGGAGGCAGACGCUAGAUGAGCAAACAGAGGACAAAAGGUCACAUAAGCACCAAGGAGACCAGCCUGGAGGCGGGUAGAGGGACUGGGUGCUCGUAGCGGAGCCCUGGGGGCCUCGACCACAAAACAUGGAUGAUGGGAGCCCCUUGCCAGGCUGUGGCGAGUGAGGGAGGUCACAGACGUCACGUAUGUGGUGGGCUCUGCCUCUGUCAAUACCCUCAGAGGGCGAUGUUGAGACAUCCUGAGGCGCUGAAGAGCUGCCUGUCGGAGUCUUGCCAUCCCAGGUGGGGCCUCAUGGUGUUUGGAGGAUCAGCAGCCUCUGUUCUCUGAGGCCCUGAGUGAACAUGGCUCUAGAACCAUCCUGCAGAGGGCAGCAGAUUUCCACAAAUAGCCUGCCUCGCGGCCAGCACCUCAUCCCAACCCCAGGGAAGGCUCAGCCGUCACUCUCCCAUCCCUGCGGCCUUCUGCUCUUGGCUGCAGAGUCCGUGAGGGAGCCCCCAACACACCCCAGGAGACAUGGAGCUGCCUUUGCCCUGCAGGAAGUGUGACACGGAGACGUGAGGAGGAGAGGGGCACAGGCAGCAGGGAGAGGGGGCAGUGCUGAGCAGCCACGGCCCGGCCUCCUCAGGGGCCUCAGCCCCCCAGGGCGCGAGGGCAGCCCCCGCUACACUGUCACCUCCAGCUGUUACUCAGGGACGCACAGGCUCCUGCCCCCUCUCUCCUCCAGCAUCCUGAGCCACAAGGCCCAGGCCUCACUCUGCUGCUCCCCAUGACCCUCCCCUGAAUGCCAAGCUCCCCGGUUUGAGUCCAAGGUCCCUCUGGGACUUGCGCCUACUGGCAAUCCUGAACUCUUCCUCCGUGAGCCCCGCGCCUGCAGCCAGCCCAAACUGCUCAGAGCUUGCCUCGAGGCUGCUGUUCCUCCGUCCUCCUGCUCCAUCGCUUCCAGCUGCCUGCUGAAGCUUGUUCAUCUUCAAGAUUCAGUUCAAGCUUGGUUUCCUCUGAGCAGCCUUCUUUGACCCUGCUGUUCCCAUUCCCAUUCCUGUCCCUUCCCUGUGCCCACAGAUGCCAUCAGAGUCCCUGGCACACUCUAGUGCCCCCACGCUGUCACAGCUGUCUCCCCCAGCGGAUAGGGGCUCAUUUUGAUGAACAUUUUAAAAAUCAAUUUAAGCAAAUCCUGGGUCAUCCGACGCGCAGGAGGAACCCAGGACUUUGGGGUUGCAUUGGGGCCGAGGGGUCAGUGCUCCGUACCAGGGUGGACGAGGGCAUACUCCAAUGGGUUUCACAGGCGCUGAAGAGUGAAAAGCAGAGGCGGACAGAGGGAGUCACUGCUGAGCGCUGACAACCACUGGCUGAGCUGGACAGAGCCUGAGCUGGGACAGCCCACCUUUGUCACCUGGACGGGGCCCAUUCCAUGUCUGCAAAGCAACGUCACCCUUCACUUUAAAUGGAUGCCAUCUGUUUGAAUUCUAUUGGUUCUGUAGUUUUAUUUGAGCUUAAUUAGUAAAUUGUCUUGAUUUUAUUGUCAGAAGGAGCUAUAAUAACAAAGAGGUUAUACCUACCCUCAGGAAUUAGAAAAUUCGCUCUAGCCCUGCAGGGCCUGGAGAAAUACUGGUCCCUAGAAGGGUCUGUGUGUCAUGCAUAUUCCCAGGUUGUAGAUGAGGACGCUCAGAUGCAGCGUGUGACUGGCUCAAGGUCAGAGAACUGGCAGGUGAGCAGCGUGAGGACCAGCGCUGUGCCGGUUCCCCCGGCCAUUCCGCCCGCCCUUCCCUGCUCUGCUUAUACCACAUGUCACUUGUGCAUCGCCUGCCUCUCACCCCAGAAGUCAGUCCCUGAAGGGGGGGCACGUUCACGUACUGUGAUCACUGCUAUAUCCACAACACCAAGCACAGCGCUGGGCAUGGAAUAAACAAACGUGUCCUCCAGAUCUAGACCAUGACUGGACACAUAGGGGAUGCUCUUACAGACGAUUGUGCAAGGAAGGGAGGGAGGGAGAGAAAAGGAAGAGAGGAAUGACUCUCAUUGCUGUGUCAGAUCAACACAAGGGACACCCAGGGGAGAAGGCCAUAGGCACUUGCCUUAGGGGAUUCAAAGGGAAGGAUGUGUCAACUAAACAAGGCAGAUGCUGCAGUUGUCCUGCAGUGCCCAGGGGAGAGGGGCCUGGCCCUGCACACCUUGGUAUUUGGUUCCUGGUGGUCCAGGCCCCCAGCCUUGACCUGAGGGCCACCCAGAGGCCCCGCUCGCAAGCCCCUCUGAGGGAGCCUGGGCUUUGGGUCCACUGAACUUCAGGAAGGACGUGGCUGGAAGGGGGCUCUGCCAUGAUAAAUCAGUACUUGAUCAAAUGCUUGGCAGGGUGCCCUGCACACGGCAGAUGUCCAAAAAAUGUAGCUGUCAUUGGCUGUGGUGACUCCAGUCUCCAUGGCCGUGGGAGUGAGGUCCAUGCCAGCUGGAUCACGUUUGGGAUUGCUAAGAAGGAUUGUCCUCGAUCUGGGAAAGUUGAUGGUGGCCCCUGGACCAGUGACCCAACCGAGAACCCUCUGGUGGCCCUGGGCCAUCUCUUCCUGCAACCCUGAGCCUCUUGGGUUGACUCCACCCCUCCUUUGGGUUCUCCGAGCCCAUUCUCGGCCCUCGCAGGAGGAGCAGGUCAGUGGCGUGGUAUCAUCUGGAAACUAGGGCAAUGGAUUCCACCUUCUAGGGUUAUUGUGAAAAUUGUCAGAGCAAUUGCAAGACUCAGGGCAGACUCAGAUGUAGUCAUUUACUGUGAGGGAGGUGCUGUCAUUGUCCCCUCAUGGCUGAGACAACUGAGUCCAAGAGUGAUCACAACUCACCCCCGUCACACUGUCUGCAGGUGACAGAGCUGGGGUCCUGGGCCAGGUCUGGUCCCGGAGCCUGGCUUUUCCCUCUGCGCAGGAGUCCCCCUGCCCACGCCACUGCCCACCCCUGGCCAUGCAGGCCCAUCAAACCCAAGGUCACUCCCCCCAGGUGAGGGCUUGGCUUUGGGCAGUGGGGGCUGUCCAGGGGAUCUGGUGCCGGCAUGCAUACAGGCUUUCUAGCGUGCCUCAAAGUCAAAUUUCUAUUUCAGUGCUCCAAACCCCCUCCUCCUGGGGUCUUCCCAGGCUCAGUAAGUGGCACCACGGUUUACGCAGAUGUUCAACCUCACCUCUAGAGGCAACAUCUUGGUCUCUUCUCAAAUUCUCUUACUCCCCAAACACUGUCGGCUCCACCUUCAUACUGAACCCCGAAGCUGAUCAUUCACAUCACCUUUGGCACUGCCACCGCCAUCCCACUUCCAACUGGCUUUAUGCCAUAGCCCCGACUGCCUCUUUCUCCCUGGAUGGUCCCCACUCUGCUCUAUUCAGCAGCUGGAAUGAUUCCUUUAAAACGCAAGGCAGGCACAUCACUCCCAGGCUCAAAGCCUGCUAAUGGCUUCCUACGGCAACCGGCGCAAAACAGCGAGCUCUCCCCGUGGGCGAGGCCUGCCGUCUCCGGCAGCUCUCUGGCCUUUCCUUGGACCCUACUCCAACCACUCGCUGCCGACCUGUCACAUCGCUUCCUGCUGCCCCUUAAAGUCUCUGGGCUGCUGCCGUGCCCUCACUGUUCUCUCUGCCUAGAAUACUCUCCCAGAUGUUUGAGUGGCUCAUUCCCAAAACUCACGCAGGUGAGCUGGUCAGAGGUCCCCCUGGCUCCCCCCAGAGAUAAAAGCUCCUCCCCACCCUCCCCCAAUCCAGGGUGCGGCUCACUCAGAGCCUCUGACCGCUUGACCCUUUCCUCCAGGUUGCUUUCUGUCACCAUGGGACAUUCAAUGACAUAACUGCUCGUUUACUGACGCGUUUCCCCAACAAGAAUGCAAGAUGGUCUCUGUGGAUCUCUGCUGUAUUCCUGCAGCACGAGUGACCACGAAAGAGUUACCGAACGAGCAAAUGAUUGCACUCACAAUUGCAAACGCAGCGGAUCGCCACUUUCAGUGGCCUCCCUGCGCCGUGCCAGGCCCGUGUGCGCGACCGUUUACGAGAGUUAGCUCACUGUAUUUCUAAAACGACCACGGGAGGUAGGUCCUCAUAAUUCCCUUUUACAAAUAAGGAAUCUAAGGCUCAGAAAAUCCAAGGGAGACCACACAGCUAGCGACGGGCAGAGCCAGUCGAGACGCCAAGUCGGCCCGCCGCCCGAGACCCGGUGCCACCCCCUGCUCCACGCUGCUCGCUGGCAUUGCCCCGAGAUGCCCCGCUCCUGCCUGGCUCAGACGCGUCUCUGCCCAAGCGUUCUGGUAAUUAUUUCCAUCCCAGAAUUUGCCCCCUUCAUUAUCAAUGACCCUCAUUAUGCAUUUGUGUUUAAUAGGCCUUUCUCGCUUGUCUUCAAUCCUCACAAAUUCUGGGUCGCCAACAACACCUCCAAGAGUCCUGCCACGCAGCAGUGCAUGGGGACGGGGCGAGAGGCAGGGCCACACCUCCGUCGCUAAUGCAUUUUCCUCCAGGCUGACCGGCCUCAAGGACGCUGGCACGAGGCAGCCUCUGCUCCAAACCCAGCCUGGGACAAGACAAGCCGCUCCUGGGAAGCGUUCAGCAAAAGGCUGUGUUCCACAUUCAUGAUGAAAUGCAAAUUUCCAUGUUCAGGAGGGCCACUAGUCGCUUGCAAAAGAAUUCCAGCUGGUUAAAUUUAGGGGAUUGAACAAAUUCCAAACCAAGAAUAUUUUUCUGGCAAGUGCCAGAGCAAUUUCA